CUCUAGCGAUACUGCCCGUAUAACGUGGAGGAAGUGGGGAGUGACGUCAAGUCAGCAUGGCCCUUACCAUCCUGGGCGUACACACACGCUACAAUGGGUGAUACAACAGGUAGCAAAAGAGCGAUCUGGAGCCAAUCCAAAAAAUCAUCCUCAGUUCGGAUUGCAGGCUGCAACUGCUUGCAUGAAGUUGGAGUUGCUAGUAAACGCAGGUCAGCACACUGCGUUGAAUACGUUCUCGGGCCUU
rnacentral:rRNA from 1 species